rnacentral:misc_RNA from 1 species
UCCACACAGAUUGUCUGAUGAAAUUAAUGAGCAAGAGCACCUGUUGAUGCAGUAAGGGCAACCUUACGCUGAUGCGAAAAGUGCCAAACCACAAUGUGGUCUGGUACGGAUUUUUCGUGUCCCCAUCGUCUAGAGGCCUAGGACACUGCCCUUUCACGGCUGUAACAGGGGUUCGAAUCCCCUUGGGGACGCCACUCCGAUUAUGUGUGAAAGACAUUAUCAACUGAAUAUCUUAAAGAUGACUUUAACGAGUCGUGUUUAAGAUAUUGCUCUUUAACAAUCUGGAACAAGCUGAAAAUUGAAAGUUUACAGCUGAAUAUCACUCUCCGUAGAAGUACUGAGUGGUGGAUUAGUCUGUAACAGAGUCUCUCAAAUAAUCGCAGCGCGAUGAUGUCUUUAAGACACCUUCGGGUUGUGAGGUUAAGCGACUAAGCGUACACGGUGGAUGCCUAGGCAGUCAGAGGCGAUGAAGGGCGUGCUAAUCUGCGAAAAGCGUCGGUAAGGUGAUAUGAACCGUUUUANCCGACGAUNA